rnacentral:rRNA from 1 species
UCACAAUGCGCGAAAGCGUGAUGGGGGGAUCCUGAGUGCUUACACUUUUGUGUAAGCUUUUGCCAAGAGUUCACAUCUUGGAGAAUAAGUGGUGGGUAAGACCGGUGCCAGCAGCCGCGGUAACCCCGGCGCCACGAGUGGCAAUCUUAUAUUGGGCCUAAAGCAUUCGUAGCCGGAUUAAAAAAUCUCUUGUGAAAUUGUCGAACUUAAUACGACAGCGUGCAGGAGACACUUUUAGUCUAGAGACUGGGAGGUGUUGGGAGUAUGCCUUGGGGAGCGGUUAAAUGUGAUAAUCCAAGGUAGACUACCUGUGGCGAAGGCGCCCAACAAGAACAGUUCUGACGGUGAGGGAUGAAAGCUAGGGGAGCGAUCCGG